AGCGAACGCUGGCGGCAGGCCUAACACAUGCAAGUCGAACGAACUCUUCGGAGUUAGUGGCGGACGGGUGAGUAACACGUGGGAACGUGCCUUUUGGUUCGGAAUAACUCAGGGAAACUUGUGCUAAUACCGAAUGUGCCCUUCGGGGGAAAGAUUUAUCGCCAUUAGAGCGGCCCGCGUCUGAUUAGCUAGUUGGUGAGGUAACGGCUCACCAAGGCGACGAUCAGUAGCUGGUCUGAGAGGAUGACCAGCCACACUGGGACUGAGACACGGCCCAGACUGCUACGGGAGGCAGCAGUGGGGAAUCUUGCGCAAUGGGCGAAAGCCUGACGCAGCCAUGCCGCGUGAAUGAUGAAGGUCUUAGGAUUGUAAAAUUCUUUCACCGGGGACGAUAAUGACGGUACCCGGAGAAGAAGCCCCGGCUAACUUCGUG
rnacentral:rRNA from 1 species